rnacentral:rRNA from 1 species
UACGAAGGGGGCUAGCGUUGUUCGGAAUCACUGGGCGUAAAGCGCACGUAGGCGGAUCAGAAAGUCAGAGGUGAAAUCCCAGAGCUCAACUUUGGAACUGCCUUUGAAACUCCUGGUCUUGAGAUCGAGGGAGGUGAGUGGAAUUCCGAGUGUAGAGGUGAAAUUCGUAGAUAUUCGGAGGAACACCAGUGGCGAAGGCGGCUCACUGGCUCGAUACUGACGCUGAGGUGCGAAAGCGUGGGGAGCAAACAGG